rnacentral:lncRNA from 1 species
AAUGAGCUAAGACAAUCAAGAGUAAGUUAAGAGACAAAGAAAAUCUACAACUUUCUUCAUUCAAAUGGCCCAAAACCGAAAUACUAAGCAAGCUCCCUUAAGGCAUGUUCAUCCAUGAAACCCUAGGAGAGAAAAGUUUGAAAACAUGAAGUAUGAAGUGUGGCUAUGGGAGCCCAAGAGUGUGUCUCGGCAUUCUCCC